UAUUGGCAUUGCUGGGAUUGG
rnacentral:misc_RNA from 1 species